CCUACGGGUGGCAGCAGUGGGGAAUAUUGGACAAUGGGGGGAACCCUGAUCCAGCGACGCCGCGUGAGUGAAGAAGUAUUUCGGUAUGGAAAGCUCUAUCAGCAGGGAAGAAAGGAAUGACGGUACCUGACUAAGAAGCCCCGGCUAACUACGUGCCAGCAGCCGCGGUAAUACGUAGGGGGCAAGCGUUAUACGGAUUUACUGGGUGUAAAGGGUGCGUAGACGGUUACGCAAGUCUGGAGUGAAAGGCGGGGGCCCAACCCCCGGACUGCUUUGGACACUGUCUAACCGGUGUGCAGGAGAGGUAUGUGGAAUUCCUAGUGUAGCGGUGAAAUGCGUAGAUAUUAGGAGGAACACCAGUGGCGAAGGCGGCUUACUGGACUGUAACUGACGUUGAGGCUCGAAAGCGUGGGGAGCAAACAGGAUUAGAUACCCCAGUAGUC
rnacentral:rRNA from 1 species